ensembl:snRNA U6 U6 spliceosomal RNA
UUGCUCGCUUCAGCAGCACAUAUACUAAAAUUGGAGCAAUACAGAGAUUAGCAUGGCCACUGCGCGAGGAUGACACGCAAAUUCAUGAAGAGCUCCAUAUUUUA